CAGGCCUAACACAUGCAAGUCGAACGAGACCUUUCGGGGUCUAGUGGCGCACGGGUGCGUAACGCGUGGGAAUCUGCCCUUGGGUUCGGAAUAACAGCGAGAAAUUGCUGCUAAUACCGGAUAAUGACGUAAGUCCAAAGAUUUAUCGCCCAGAGAUGAGCCCGCGUAGGAUUAGCUAGUUGGUGGGGUAAAGGCCUACCAAGGCGACGAUCCUUAGCUGGUCUGAGAGGAUGAUCAGCCACACUGGGACUGAGACACGGCCCAGACUCCUACGGGAGGCAGCAGUGGGGAAUAUUGGACAAUGGGCGAAAGCCUGAUCCAGCAAUGCCGCGUGAGUGAUGAAGGCCCUAGGGUUGUAAAGCUCUUUUACCCGGGAUGAUAAUGACAGUACCGGGAGAAUAAGCUCCGGCUAACUCCGUGCCAGCAGCCGCGGUAAU
rnacentral:rRNA from 1 species